rnacentral:rRNA from 1 species
AUUGAACGCUGGCGGCAUGCCUUACACAUGCAAGUCGAGCGGCAGUGCGGACUUCGGUCUGGCGGCGAGUGGCGAACGGGUGAGUAAUACCUCGGAACGUCCCUUGUCGUGGGGGAUAACUUGUCGAAAGAUUAGCUAAUACCGCAUACGUCCUGAGGGUGAACGUGGGGGACCGAAAGGCCUCACGCAUCAGGAUGGGCCGAUGUCUGAUUAGCUAGUUGGUGGGGUAAAGGCCCACCAAGGCGACGAUCAGUAGCUGGUCUGAGAGGACGAUCAGCCACACUGGGACUGAGACACGGCCCAGACUCCUACGGGAGGCAGCAGUGGGGAAUGUUGGACAAUGGGGGCAACCCUGAUCCAGCAAUGCCGCGUGUGUGAAGAAGGCCUUCGGGUUGUAAAGCACUUUUGUUUGGGAAGAAAGCGAGCUGGUUAAUACCUGGCGUGGAUGACGGUACCAGAAGAAUAAGCACCGGCUAACUACGUG